rnacentral:rRNA from 1 species
CGUAGGUGGCAAGCGUUGUCCGGAUUUAUUGGGUUUAAAGGGUGCGUAGGCGGCCUGUAAGCCAGUGGUGAAAUGCUCUAGCUUAACUAGAGAGGUGCCAAUGAUACUGCAGGGCUUGAGUACAGAUGAGGUAGGCGGAAUUGACGGUGUAGCGGUGAAAUGCAUAGAUAUCGUCAAGAACACCUAUAGCGAAGGCAGCUUACUGGGCUGUAACUGACGCUGAGGCACGAAAGUGUGGGGAUCAAACAGGAUUAGAUACCCUGGUAGUCCACACUGUAAACGUUGAUUACUCACUGUUUGCGAUACACAGCAAGCGGCUUAGCGAAAGCGAUAAGUAAUCCACCUGGGGAGUACGCCGGCAACGGUG